rnacentral:rRNA from 1 species
UGAGUAACGCGUGAGAAUCUGGCUUCAGGUCGGGGACAACAGUUGGAAACGACGGCUAAUACCGGAUGUGCCGCAAGGUGAAAGAUUUAUUGCCUGAAGAUGAGCUCGCGUCUGAUUAGCUAGUUGGUGGGGUAAGAGCCUACCAAGGCGUCGAUCAGUAGCUGGUUUGAGAGGACGACCAGCCACACUGGGACUGAGACACGGCCCAGACUCCUACGGGAGGCAGCAGUGGGGAAUUUUCCGCAAUGGGCGAAAGCCUGACGGAGCAAUACCGCGUGAGGGAGGAAGGUUUUUGGACUGUAAACCUCUUUUGAUUGGGAAGAAGUUCUGACGGUACCAAUCGAAUAAGCAUCGGCUAACUCCGUGCCAGCAGCCGCGGUAAUACGGAGGAUGCAAGCGUUAUCCGGAAUUAUUGGGCGUAAAGCGUCCGCAGGUGGUAGUACAAGUCUGCUGUCAAAGACCGGAGCUCAACUCCGGAAAGGCAGUGGAAACUGUACAACUAGAGUACGGUAGGGGUAGAGGGAAUUCCCAGUGUAGCGGUGAAAUGCGUAGAGAUUGGGAAGAACAUCGGUGGCGAAAGCGCUCUACUGGGCCGUAACUGACACUCAGGGACGAAAGCUAAGGUAGCGAAAGGGAUUAGAUACCCCUGUAGUCUUAGCUGUAAACGAUGGAUACUAGGCGUAGCUUGUAUCGACCCGAGCUGUGCCGAAGCUAACGCGUUAAGUAUCCCGCCUGGGGAGUACGCACGCAAGUGUGAAACUCAAAGGAAUUGACGGGGGCCCGCGCAAGCGGUGGAGUAUGUGGUUUAAUUCGAUGCAACGCGAAGAACCUUACCAGGACUUGA